rnacentral:rRNA from 1 species
UACGUAGGGGGCAAGCGUUAAUCGGAAUUACUGGGCGUAAAGCGUGCGCAGGCGGUUCGGAAAGUCAGGUGUGAAAUCCCAGGGCUUAACCUUGGAACUGCACUUUUAACUACCGGGCUAGAGUACGUCAGAGGGGGGUAGAAUUCCACGUGUAGCAGUGAAAUGCGUAGAGAUGUGGAGGAAUACCGAUGGCGAAGGCAGCCCCCUGGGAUGAUACUGACGCUCAUGCACGAAAGCGUGGGGAGCAAACAGG